rnacentral:rRNA from 1 species
CGUAACCGGGCUGAAGUCGUACCGUAAGGAGCGGUGGACUGGUUACGAGUGAGAAUGUUGGCAUCAGUAGCGAGAUGUGGGUGAGAAUCCCACAGGCCGAAAACCUAAGGUUUCCUCAGGAAGGUUCGUCCGCUGAGGGUUAGUCGGGACCUAAGCCGAGGCCGAAAGGCGUAGGUGAUGGACAACUGGUUGAUAUUCCAGUACCACUACCAUCGUUAUUAUCGAUGGCGUGACGCAGGAGGAUAGUGUGUGCUAGCUAUUGGAUGCUAGUCUAAGCGUUUAGGCAGUGAGAGUAGGCAAAUCCGCUCUCAUAAUGCUGAGGCGUGAUGGGGAAGGUUCUACGGAACCGAAGUACAUGAUUCCACGCUGCCAAGAAAAGCGUCUAGAGAGAGAAGUAGUGCCCGUACCGCAAACCGACACAGGUAGGUGAGGAGAGAAUCCUAAGGCCGGCGGAAGAAUUACAGUUAAGGAACUCGGCAAAUUGACCCCGUAAGUUCGCGAGAAGGGGUGCCUACGAGAGUAGGCCGCAGAGAAUAGGCCCAAGCAACUGUUUAGCAAAAACACAGGUCUCUGCUAAAGCGUAAGCUGAUGUAUAGGGGCUGACGCCUGCCCGGUGCUGGAAGGUUAAGGGGAACACUUAGCGCAAGCGAAGGUGUGAACUUAAGCCCCAGUAAACGGCGGCCGUAACUAUAACGGUCCUAAGGUAGCGAAAUUCCUUGUCAGGUAAGUUCUGACCCGCACGAAUGGCGUAAUGACUUGGGCACUGUCUCAACUGUAAAUCCGGCGAAGUUGUAGUGCGAGUGAAGAUGCUCGCUACCCGCGAUUGGACGGAAAGACCCCGUAGAGCUUUACUGUAGCUUAGCAUUGAGUUUUGGUAUUGUCUGUACAGGAUAGGUGGGAGACUAGGAAACCAGGGCGUCAGCCUUGGUGGAGUCAACCUUGGGAUACCACCCUGACAGUACUGAAAUUCUAACUGGCGGCCAUGAAUCUGGUCACAGGACAUUGUUAGGUGGGCAGUUUGACUGGGGCGGUCGCCUCCUAAAAAGUAACGGAGGCGCCCAAAGGUUCCCUCAGAACGGUCGGAAAUCGUUCGAAGAGUGCAAAGGCAGAAGGGAGCCUGACUGCGACACCCACAAGUGGAGCAGGGACGAAAGUCGGGCUUAGUGAUCCGGUGGUACCUCGUGGGAGGGCCAUCGCUCAACGGAUAAAAGCUACCUCGGGGAUAACAGGCUGAUCUCCCCCAAGAGUCCACAUCGACGGGGAGGUUUGGCACCUCGAUGUCGGCUCGUCGCAUCCUGGGGCUGAAGUAGGUCCCAAGGGUUGGGCUGUUCGCCCAUUAAAGCGGCACGCGAGCUGGGUUCAGAACGUCGUGAGACAGUUCGGUCCCUAUCCGUCGCGGGCGUAGGAAAUUUGAGAGGAGCUGUCCUUAGUACGAGAGGACCGGGAUGGACUGACCUCUGGUGUACCAGUUGUUCCGCCAGGAGCACAGCUGGGUAGCUAAGUCGGGAAUGGAUAAACGCUGAAAGCAUCUAAGCGUGAAGCCAACCUCAAGAUGAGAUUUCCCAUAGCGUAAGCUAGUAAGAUCCCUUGAAGAACACA